UACGAUGUAUGUUCCUCUGCU
rnacentral:miRNA from 1 species